rnacentral:rRNA from 1 species
UACAGAGGGGGGCAAGCGUUGUUCGGAAUUACUGGGCGUAAAGGGCGCGUAGGCGGCCGGCUAAGUCGAACGUGAAAUCCCCGGGCUCAACCCGGGAACUGCGUCCGAUACUGGCAGGCUUGAAUCCGGGAGAGGGAUGCGGAAUUCCAGGUGUAGCGGUGAAAUGCGUAGAUAUCUGGAGGAACACCGGUGGCGAAGGCGGCAUCCUGGACCGGUAUUGACGCUGAGGCACGAAAGCGUGGGGAGCGAACAGG